rnacentral:misc_RNA from 1 species
AAGAGUAUAGGACUCCGGUCUACUACUCCACCCUUUGUUUACAAUACCAUUGUUGCUUUGGCAGGUCUGUCAUCAGACAACUGGCUUCGGCUGGUCAGUGCCUGCCAGAGGACCUAAAACUCAUGUUUAUAUUAUCGUCUGAGUACUAUAUAAUAGUUA